rnacentral:rRNA from 1 species
UACGGGGGGAGCAAGCGUUGUUCGGAUUUACUGGGCGUAAAGGGCGCGUAGGCGGCCAGCGCAAGUCAGUUGUGAAAUCUCCGAGCUUAACUCGGAAAGGUCAACUGAUACUGCGCGGCUAGAGUGCAGAAGGGGCAACUGGAAUUCUCGGUGUAGCGGUGAAAUGCGUAGAUAUCGAGAGGAACACCUGCGGCGAAGGCGGGUUGCUGGGCUGACACUGACGCUGAUGCGCGAAAGCUAGGGGAGCAAACGGG